AUUUUUGGAGCAACACUUUCUCAACGCUGCACAAUGGCUUCUAGCGAUAGGAUUAAAAUUUUCAUCCGAGUAAGUGUCGUGGCGCGUGUCCCAACUGUACAUUUCUCUGUCUCGGAUCGAUGCUGAACUUCAGAGCCCUAAUGCUGCCAAACAGUUGAGCAUGGGAAAAGACUUCAAUCCUGUAAUAUUCAACAGAAAAUUCAUAGGAUGGUGUAGCAAGUAUGGAUGGAAAAUAAGACCUCAAAUAUUCAGCCUGACUACAUGA